rnacentral:rRNA from 1 species
CUAAAAAGUUCUAAAAGCACAAAGAUUUGGUCCUGGUCUUAUUGUCAGUUAUCUCUUGAUUUACACAUGCAAGUCUCAGCACACCAGUGAGGACGCCCUUACCCCUUCUAUAGGACAAGGAGCUGAUAUCAGGCACUUCCACCGCCCAUAACAUCUAGUCCGACCACACCCCCAAGGGUAUUCAGCAGUGAUAAACAUUGUUUAUAAGCGACAGCUUGACUCAGAUAAAGAGAAGAGGGCCGGCCAACCCGGUGCCAGCCGCCGCGGCUAAACCCUAGGGCCCAAAUUGAUAAUACUCGGCGUCAAUCGUGAUUAAAGCUUUCUAAAAUUAGAGUAGAACCUAUUAUUAAGCUGUGAAAAGCAAUUUUUUUAGGGAAAAUCAGAAACGAAAGUUACUCUAAUACACACUUGAACACACGACAACUGGGAAACAAACUGGGAUUA